rnacentral:rRNA from 1 species
CGCAGCCUGAUCCAGCCAUGCCGCGUGUCUGAAGAAGGCCUUCGGGUUGUAAAGGACUUUUGUCAGGGAAGAAAAGCUUUGGGUUAAUACCCUGGAGUGAUGACGGUACCUGAAGAAUAAGCACCGGCUAACUACGUGCCAGCAGCCGCGGUAAUACGUAGGGUGCGAGCGUUAAUCGGAAUUACUGGGCGUAAAGCGAGCGCAGACGGUUUGUUAAGCAGGAUGUGAAAUCCCCGGGCUCAACCUGGGAACUGCGUUCUGAACUGGCAGGCUAGAGUAUGUCAGAGGGGGGUAGAAUUCCACGUGUAGCAGUGAAAUGCGUAGAGAUGUGGAGGAAUACCGAUGGCGAAGGCAGCCCCCUGGGAUAAUACUGACGUUCAUGCUCGAAAGCGUGGGUAGCAAACAGGAUUAGAUACCCUGGUAGUCCACGCCCUAAACGAUGUCAAUUAGCUGUUGGGGCACUUGAUGCCUUAGUAGCGUAGCUAACGCGUGAAAUUGACCGCCUGGGGAGUACGGUCGCAAGAUUAAAACUCAAAGGAAUUGACGGGGACCCGCACAAGCGGUGGAUGAUGUGGAUUAAUUCGAUGCAACGCGAAGAACCUUACCUGGUCUUGACAUGUACGGAAUCCUCCAGAGACGGAGGAGUGCCUUCGGGAGCCGUAACACAGGUGCUGCAUGGCUGUCGUCCGCUCGUGUCGUGAGAUGUUGGGUUAAGUC